CUCUAAAUUGCUCACAUUUUUCUCAUUUGUACAUUCCUGAUGAGUAAAGCAAAUUUAUUUCACCUGAGAGCAAGGAGGGAGGUAUCCAGUGAUAAGGCAAGAAUUUGAUGAGUAGCUGUGCAGUUUUUUCCUUUGAAAGCUCCUCACUCAACUUGUCCACCCUUUGGUGAUUAUUUCCUUUGGAAAUAGUUUUCUUAAAAACUACUUGGAUCUUAAGAACUUCACAUGCAGAGGACUGCUUUUGGGGUCCAGGAGUUUGAAACAGAAUAAGAUACUACAUUAGCCAGUGACCUGAAAUAAAAGCAAAUGGAACUCAGAAGAGCUUGCAGGGGUCAGGCAGUCCACGAUCUCCCUUACAGCCAGCUCCGUUUUACCCAGGCCAUUACUAGAAAAUGUCAGUUUGCCUUGUUCUUAAGAACAUCUCCUUAAAAACAUCCUCAAUCCUGCUACCUCAAGAAGCCAACUGUUCUGCCCUGUUGUUGUGGAAGAAAGAAGAGGGCAUAGGGAGAGGACUGCAUUUGGAUUGUCUGUUUUGCAUCCAGUAUGCAGCUGUGAUAGAACAAGAGCCAAACAGCAUAUGUGUUGGAGACAGUGUCUAUCAGAAGAAAUGCCAACGCAUCUGCACCACUAGUUGUGUUUUCUGUUGGAUCAGAUCCAGUGCCAGCUGGCAUGCCUCUUGGGUCAUGGGUUAAAGCAGAGGACUUGUUCAGUUCAUCUUGGUUCAUGCUCAAACUCUCACUAGAGAAGAGUGGUGAGUCAUAUACAGUGGUCCACGCAUGGGAUGCUAACUUCAGGAGACAGUUGCCCAGCCAUGGAAGGUACCUAGGACACUGUGCCUCUUCCCUAAGGAAUCAGACUAGUUGCUGCAUUUAUUGCUUCUGGGCCUGCCAUGGAGAUUUCCUGUCUUCCAAAUUUCCUUUUGCUUAACUGUUUCCUUGUUUUUAACUCACAUUUCUGUCUGCGAGGGGAAUAUAAUGUCCACUUUUUGGAAUGGAAAACUUCAGGAAUUCUUUAGAAUAUAUACAGACAUAUAUUAACCAUCCCUGUACACACAGACAUAUAUGCAAGUAUUGGCGAUCAGUCCCAUAACCACUCCUGUCAAUUUAUUCCAGAAGUUAAGUACUGUCUUUAUGGAACUGCCUGGGAAAUAUAAACAAAUAAAGAGAAUCUCAAUGGCCCUCCAGAUGCCUUCUCAAGGAAUUGUAGCAGUGGGGAGAAACUCUUUACACAGCUGACAAAAUAAAUGAUCCAGGGGUGAGAGAUACACGCUGAGUUCUUACUUACAUCUGGGAGAGUAAUGUGUGCUGUGAGGCCCACACACUGCAUCCCAGUGUCUAUUCUGAGGGUAAAGACUUACAUGGUGUUGGGAUAGCCCUUUGUUUUCUCUCAGGCUGGAGAGAGUAUCUUGGGAAAAGAGAGAACUAAGUCAGGGCAAACCUCCCCUCAGCUUCUUCCAAACUCUUUACAAAACAAGUGGGAAAAUUUUGAAUCACAUUAAGGUAAAAAAUAUUUAGUUGUACAUGGAAAAAAAUGAUUUCUUGUGACCCAUGGAUUUUUUUCCAAUACAGGAGGGAAAAGACUUGAUAACAGCUCUCAGGAGGUUUGAGCAUCUCUGUGGUAAUGUCCCUGAAAAUGUGUAAUGUCAACCAGGAGUGAAAAUCUCUGCAGGGAGGAAGGAAAACACAGUGUCUUUGGUUCACAUCACUCCAUGGAGAGGAGGCUCUUGAUGCACAACGAAGCCCUCAUAUAUGUCAGUGACCGACGGAAAGCUGGAGACUAAAGGGGGUGGAGGAAAAGUGCAUUAAAAUAAUAAAAAAUGUGUUAUGAAAUUUCAGUCAAAUGUAUGUAAAUCUUUAUUAAUUAAAGGACUUCUCAACAUGAUAAUGUGGCCAUGUAUUUCUUGGCAUUUUCACAAAUGAGGAAGCGCAGCUUUCUUCACUGGCAAUUGAUCUGCUUCCCAGUGUUAACAUUAACAUACUUGAGACUUUACAGCUGUUAACUUGAUGACUUUACAAUUGAUAUGAAACAUUUCCCAUACUGUCUUAAUCUUGUAAUCCAGAUUCUGCCACCUUUGGUCAUCGUGCAUGGCAUCAGUUUAAUAAAUAGGGUUGUUAUUCU
ensembl:lncRNA